rnacentral:ncRNA from 1 species
AUGGGAGGCUCUCAUGCAGUGACAACUCAACUUCUCUGAUACUGUGUCAUGAAUUCGUAUCAGAACUUCGAUAGUUCAUCACUGAAUCCUGAAAGACGGGAUCGAAUCUGAACAGGAAGGCGACUUGUUCUAGAUGCACCGGUCUAUCACCGCGAAGGCUAGCCAGAAUUCCACUGGUGCCUGACUAGAUAUUAGUUUUACCCCACUGACGAAGUAAAUGCUGCGACGGUAGUCGAAGUUAGUACGAGAGGAACACUUUCGUUGGUUAAUGCCGUUGUCUGAAAAGACAGUAUGGCGGAGUUACUAUCUGCUGGAUAAUCCAGCCUGGAUUACGACUCAAUGCCUCCAAGCCGGAAUUCAUGUUGGAUAAGCAGUGUUGUACUCAGGACCAAUGGCGUACAAACGGUCCCUGGGGAGGUACGCGAGUCAAAAAUCAUCGAUAUAAUGGGUACGCUGUGCUCGGAAAUUUCUCAGAAAAAUUUGUAGGAAAAAUUUUAUCCCACAAGUGCAAUAGGAGUCCCGCACUGUAGCCGACAGUCUGCAGGACAAGGGAAU